ensembl:lncRNA
AACCACAGUGAGUAAGGAGCUGGAAAGUCUUCUCACUGAGACUGAACCCUGAGAGCCUCAGAACGCAAUGGACCCCGAUCCUUCAGCUCACACUAUUUGCCUGACCAGCCAUUGAACUCCCCUCCCACUAUCAAUGGGCACCAUCAUGACCCCCAUCCUCUCUGCCCUGCUGAGCCUUGGGCUAUGUCUGGGCCACAAGAUAAAGGGACAGGCAGAGAAGGCCACUUCAAGUCCUGAAACUGAGAACUGGCUGUUUGGUGAGCAAUUGGAGGAUUCACAAUAGAGAAGAUGGGGAAACAGAGCUGGAUGCCCAAUCAGGUCUCUCUAAGAAAAAUGCAAGCAUCUUGCUGGGCGUCUCAGCACUGCUCAUCCUGCUCUUCCUCUUCCUCCUCCUCUUCUGCUGUCGCCGCCAUCGGGCCAGAAUCAGCAAUGGGAGCAGAGGAGCAGAGGUCAAGAAAACCUCCAAGAGCUCAUACUCAGCUUCAAUCCCCACGGAGGAGACCUUGUACAUUGCUGUUGAGGAUGGCAGACAGACAGAGGAGGCCACACAGGAGGACACUGCUGUUCCCAAAGGGGAAGACCCUCAGCAAGUGACCUACGCUCAGCUGAACCUCUGCAGUCUCAGGGCUGGGACCAAUAACUCUCCCUCCUCUAAACCAGUGGAGCCCAGCCUCUAUGCUACCCUUCGGUGAGCUCAGCCCAAGCCCAGGAGGCCCAGGAGGGAGAAGCCCCUCCCCAGCCUCUGCUUUCUGAGGACAAACCAGUUCUGCCCAAUCAACCAGGCAAGCCAGAUGUUAGAACACCUGCUCAUCACCCCCAAGGGAAGGACAUAAAGGACUACAAACUGCUGGGAGUAGGGUUCCUCCCUCUUGAUCUCUGGCACAAAGAGGGCUUUGCUCCAAUAGAAUGUGCCCCCUAUAGUGCCAAGUCACCAGAAUAGGGGCAAACCAGAUGAGGUCAGAUGAAGCCUAUUAUCACCUAACAGGGUCCUGCCUCCAUUGGAUCUGUCAGUAUAAGUGUAGGAGUCAGAGAACUCCCCUACCUCCAAUAGAGAUGAGGGAGAGACUAGGGUGAAGAUGACAAUCCCUGUAAGGACCCCACUCUUCCUACUGACUCCCAAUGUGCUCAGGUCUGGGUUUGGAGAGAAAGCAACCAGAAUAGGAAGGAAAAGUGUCUCUGUGAUGAGUGACUGGUUAUUGGGGGAAUCAGAGAGAGCGCCUUCCAUCCAUCUCCUUCCUCUGAGCUUUUAUCUAGGCCCAACAAAGCCUGGAGUAGGAAACCAGGCAAUAGGAUCCGAACUGGCUGUUUGACCUUGGACAAGAUCUUCUCUUUCAUUUUCCUCUGAUAUAAAAUGAACUCCUAUUAGUGCAGUUCUCAAUCACUCUGCUCCUGUGUAUAGUUUUAUGGGCCACAGAACUCUGGCCAGAAACCCUAGGGACAAAUUGUCAAGAAAGACCACAGCUACAAUGAAGAGCUCAAGAGAUAGAGUUUCUGAGUUAUUAAUAAUCAAUUUAUUAAUUACGCUAGCUGAUAAUCAAUAACUUGAUGACCAGUUUUUUCUCUUGAUAAACAAAGAUGAAACAAUUCAUAUCCCUUAAUGUUUAAAUAUCUUUAGAAAGGAGGAGCCUUUGACAGGUGAAAAUCAGCCUGGAUUGGUGAACACAACUAAUGAAAGGGUAGACAUAUUAAUGAGAAGGUGGGCUAAAAGUCUCCAGCUCCUCCUGUUGAGAACAUUACUUGAUCAUAACUCUCAGCAGCCUCUAACAAAUCUGGACAAAGGAAUCCAUCUCUACUCAGGACUCUCUGCUUGGUUUUCUCUUGGUUUUCUUCACAAGCUGGGUCACCCUAAAUUCUAAAGGAGGGUCUGCAAGAAUAGACUUAUUUCUUUCAAAGACUGAUUAACUGACUGGUCUACAGACACUGGUCCCUGCAUGAAGAAGUAGAAAGGAAAAACCUCAAUCUUCAUUUACUAAGUGGUUCAAAAUAUAAUAGAAAACUAAUCAUUUCUCUCACCUCCUUCUGGAAAUGCAGGACUGAGGCUCUCCAGGCAUCUAUCCCAGACUCAUGAUCCUCCCAAGAUAUGCUUUUCACUGUCCCCUCUCUUCUUUCCUCUCCUCUCAUUAAUAUAUUCAUACUCACAGUGAAAAGGAGGCUGCUGGCUAAGAUGGUUUCCAGAACUAUAAACCGGCUCUCACAUCCCUAAAACAUCCAAACUCUAAUGAGAAUUAUUUUUUAUUUCCUCUUUAUUAUUUGGGACUAAGUAUCAUUCCUCCUGCAAAUUUUGGUUACCUAAAAUCCUGUCUUCUGUUCAUAUUAACCUCAUUUGAACAAACCUUUCUCAUAAGAUAUAAAAAUUUAAUUACAGCCUUAAACAUUCUAUAAUAAGAAGCCAAAAGUUUCCUAACUCGUUGGAGACUCGUUGGGGAUCUUCUUCAUCAAUUAGGCUAUUCAUGAAUCCUCUAAUAAUCGUUUAAUUUGGAUCCUUACAAAAUGUUAAACUUUUAUGAUAUUAAAAGAAGUAUCUGUUUUUUCUUUAAUGUCAAUGGCUUAACAUUUCAAUAUAUAAAAGAAUUAUUUUUCUGUAACUCUGGUGUAAUCUUGCCCAUAAGAAAUUUGGAAAAAUAUCUUUGGGGUAGACCAUAUGUCAAAAACAGUACUAACAAGAUAGAGUCAUGGAAAAUGAGGAAUCAUGUUAUGGGCCAGAUUUCUGAACUUGAAACAAAGGAUUCUUACAAGGUGCUAAGUCAGUGGAAUUGAUAGAAACAAUAAUUAUCUAAUUUAGCCUGGUUCAGUAUGAUUGAUUUAAUCCUACAAGGAGGUGUUAUGGGCCAGAGCUUGAAACAAGGUACUAAGCAGAAUUGAGGAGACAAUGGUUAAAUCUAGUUUAGCAUUGAUUUAAUCCUAAACAAGUAAUGGUUUCCUAAUGAUAUAAUGAUUGGUUUGUACUAAGUGUACAGCAUAUAAGCAAGAAGUUCUCAGGGCCAGAAAGGACAAGUGCACUAGAAGCUCUUGGAGGCAGAGACAGAUUCAUUCCAUUGUCCACCUUUGUGGUGGCUGAAGGCUGAAGCACAAACCUUUGGAUUCAGAGAGAUUCAGAGUGCAGAGAAGGAGGCAGGAGCUCAAGCUCUCAGAACCAAAGAGAGACAUAGGCCUCUAAGAAAAUUAGCUGAGCCCUAAGUGAAGGACAUAGGACUUUGAAGGAGACAAUAAAGGAUUUGGACUGUAACUCCUGGCUACACGUGUGAUGAUUACUGACUUGAAACGAAAGCUGCUCCCAGAGAUCCCAAGAAAACCUCAACAGAAAACAGUACAUUUUAGAGAGAACUUUACAGAAUAACCAGGAGAAAAACUGCCCUACCAUUCAAAGGACUUAAAAGAGUCUUCUUGGAAAGGUGGGGAGACUUGGAGCCAGUCAGUAGUUGAACAAGCAUGAGUUAAGUGCCUGCUGCGUGACAUCACUGUGCUAAGUCUAGGGAUACAAAAGAUCCACGUCCUAUCCUUAAUGAAUUCACAGUUUAAUGGGGAAAGAGGAGAAAACAUUCCAACAAGUAAGGAUACACGGGAACUAGACAGGAAAAAUGACAGCGAAUCAAGAAGAAAAAGGGAUUAAAAUUUAGAAGACAUGGGGGGAGUGGUACAGUAGUCUCUUCUAUCAGGUAGGAAUUUAAGAAGCCUGUAAAAGAGGAGGAGAGGGAAGGAGAAGAGUGAAGAAGGCAAAGUAGAAGAAGGAAACAAGCAUUUGCUAAGCACUUAAGAUGUGCCAGAUCCUGUGCUUAAGCACCUUACAGAAAUGUUGUUUGAUCCUCAUAACAAUCUUGAGAGAUAGCUGCUGUUGUUACCCCCAUUUUAGGUUUUAGGAAAUAGAGGUAUGUAUAGUUUAAGGAAAAGGACAGGAGAGAGGAGGGGAGGGGAAGGAGAUAGGACAGGAAGAGAGAGGACAGGACAGGAGACCAGGGCUAGCAAGAGGAAGGGAAGUAUCUAACUAGGCAAUGGCUGAACAAAAACUGGGAUGGGAUGGGAUGUACAGAAUAGACUCUUUUUCUCAAUUGUAUUUUAUUUUUCUAAAUACGUGUAUAGUUUUCAACUUCAUUUCUGUAUUUCAAUUUUUUCUGCUUCCCUUCCUCACCUGCCCACUCCCCAGAACAGCAAGCAAUCUGAUAUGGGUUAAACAUGUAUAAAACUUUUAAACAUAUUUCUCUAUUUGCCAUAUUGUUAAAAAAAAUCAGACCAAAAGGGGAAAAAAUAUGAAAAAGAAAAGCAAACAAACAAAAAAAGAUAAAAGCACUCUGAUUCGAUCCACAUUCAGUCUCUAUAAUUCUCUCUGGAUGGAGAUGGCAAUUUGUAAUGGACUCUUAUUACACCAUGAGAAAUUAGGAAAAAAAUUAUUUCAGAGAAUUCUGGAUAGCAUAAACAGAUGCAGGACAAAGUGAAUGAAACCAAGAAAGCAAUUUAAAUAUCAAGACAAAAAUAUUAUAAAGAAAUAUAACAAUGAAGGACCAAAAACUUCUGACCAGGCCAUGACUAAGCAUGACUCCGGAUGAGGUCAGAUGAAGCCUAUGAGCACUUGCUGGUAGAGAAGAGGUAGAUACUGAGUACAGAAAAGGACAGACAUUCAGUGGACAGAGUCACUUUGUGGAUUAGUUUAGCUUUUUUGAGUUGUUGUUUUUUCUUAUCUCUAGGUUUUUCAUUUGGAAAAGGGAUUUGGCACAAAAGGGGGAAUUAGAGAAGAGGCACAUCAUUAUUACAAUAGUAAUACCAAAAAAUGAUCCCAUUGUUUAAAAUGGACAAAAAAGGAGAGGAAGGAUCAAAAGGGAUUGUGGGCAAGCAGGUUAGUUUACUUCCAUGAAGAUGAAAGAAAUCAUUAUUAAUAACAAGGAUUUGAGAAGAUUCAGGUUCUCCCCUUUUUUCUGAAGUCUUUAUUUUAAAUCCCAGUCUCUAAAGGUUGAAUUAACUUGUAGGUCAGAGGAACAAGCUUUUAUGGCAGCCCAUAUAUAAGAACCAUUGACUAAUCUCAGCCUUCCGAGCAUUCCUUUUCAUUUUUCAGAAGGCAGACCACAGGAGAGCAAAGUGGAGUUCUCUUUUUGGUUUAGGUAGAGAGGAAGCCUGUGUAUCUGUGUGUGAGUCAUCACUGUCUCUUGGGAACUGUCCAUGGUGCCGUUGGAGGAAGUCUGUUCCUGUGGGCCAUUUACUCUUCUCAGGAGCUGUCCAUGGUGCCCUUGCGGGUAACCUGUACCUGGCAGUGGCAAGUCCCUGCCUGCCUGCAGUAAACCCAAGUAGGACUUAGCUGAUGCUAUUCCACUACCCAGGGAAAUUAGAUGCAUUUUCCAGAGAAGGCUAUAGCAUUAAAGGAAACUGGCAAAACCUUCUUGGCUUUCAGCUGGGACUUUAAGGAAGCAGGGAAGGCCAUUUCCUUGUGAGGAAAAAAAUGACCUUUUCUUUCUACUUAAUUACAAGAAUUUGUCCUUGUGUUCAUGAUUGAUUCCUCUGUCAAAAGUUUUGCAUUUAGACUCUAAGCACUUCCGGAAUCCCCUUAUGCAAUUAGGAAUUCAUUAUUGGUCUACAUUCACUGUUAAUCAGUAGACAGCAGAUAAUUUCUUUUCUUUUCAUGCAAUUUGCAUUCCCCUACAACUUCUUGCAAAAUAUUCUCAAUAUCUUGUUAAGUCAAAUGGUAUUCUCUGUUUAAUUUAUAGAAUAAAACAAGCACUUGCAUAACAGUAUCAUAAAACAGACAAUUGUAUAUUAAAUUGAAAAUCUACUAUGUACAACUUGCUAUUCCUUUUAAAUAUAUAUACAAAUUAUUGUGUAAAUUUUCUUUUUUUUCUUUUUUUUCUUCCCUCACCACCCCACCCAGACCUAAAGAUGGCUACCAUCAGACAAAUAGGUAUAUAGGUAUGAAAGAUUAUUCUAUAUAUAUUUGUAUUUAUUCGUUUUUUUCUCUGGCUGUAGAUAGCAGUUUUCUUCAUAUAUCCUUUAUUUUUAAUUUAUGUAUUUAUAAUAGUUCAAAUGACUUAGUCGCUCAGUCUUUUUUAAAACAAUAUUGCUGUUACUGAAUACGAUGGGGUUUUUUUGUUUCUACUAAUUUUGCUCUUCAUUAUUUUGUGCAAAACUUUCUAUGCUUUUCUAAGAAAUUUCAUACAGUACAGUAGUAUUCCAUCACAUGUAUAGAUCCCAUCUUCCUCAACUGUUCCCCAAUUGAUGGGCAUCCCCUCGAUUUCCAGUUCUUUGAUAACACAAGGAGAGCUGCUAUAGACACACUAUUCACAUUUAAAGUUAUAAUUACUACUUGUGAAUUUCCAUCCAUCUUAUUUUUAUUCAAUAUUUUUCUUCUCAGCUUCUCUUUUUACCCUAUUCCUAUUAUCUUAUCUUCUCUCUUCACUCUUCCAAUACUCAUCCCAUAGACCCAUCCAAAAGUUCCCUUACCCUCUUUCCCCAAUCUACCAACCCCAAUAUAUACAUCUCUCUAAAAGUUCCCCCUCAAUCUUGUCCCCUAGUUUUCCUACCUCUCUACAUAUUCAGAAGACUUCUAGAUCCUUUCAGAUGAACACAUUGUUUUCUCUUUAACCCAUCUGAAAGUAAGGUUUCAACUGUACCAGUCUCUCACUGUGACCUACUUCCUUAAUUCUUCCUCUCACACAUCAUUUUAAUAAGGGUUUCCUUUUACCUUUUCAUAUUCAAUUCUGUUUUUUAGUAUCAGCUCAUCAUACACAACUCAACCUCAACCUUUCUUUCAAAUCUCAACUUUCAUUCAUAUUUCAAAAUAAUGAGUAUAGUUUUUAGAAUAGUGAUAACCUUUCCAUAUAUAUUAAUAAAUAAAGUGUGGCCUUAAGGGGUGCCUUAGGGGCAGCUAGAUGGUACAGUGGACAGAGCACUGACCUUGAAGUCAGAAAGAUCUGAGUUCAAAUCUGGCCUCAAACACUUAAUACUUUCUAGUUGUAUAACCUAGGAAAGUCUCUUAACCCCAAUUGUUUCACCAAAAAAAAGAAAGAAAAAAAAAAACAAAGGAGUGCCUUAUAAUUACUCUUCUAUGUUUUCCUUAUAUUUCUUCUGGAUAUUUUAUAUCAGAUUUCCUAUUGAGUUCUGGUCUUAUUGUCACAAAUCUUUGAAAGUCUUUCAAUACAUCAAAUAUCCAUUUGUUUACACUCAGAAUUAUACUCAAGUUUUCUGGAUAAGUUAUUCUUGGACACAACUUCAGAUUUUUGGUUCUUUGAAAUAUAAUGUUCCAAGACCUGCUGGAUUUUAGAGUAGAAGCUGCUACAUCUUCUGAAAUCCUGACUGUACUUCCUAAAGUAUUUAAAUUAGGGUUUUUUCUUGUUGAUUGUAAUAUUUUUUCUUUAAUCUGGGAAUUUGGGAACUUGCAAAUCAUAAAUAUUUCUACUUCUACUUCUUUUUCCUCUUGUUCUAGAAGUUCAAGAUAAUUUUCCUUAAUAAUUUCUUGUAAUAUUCUAUCUAGAUUCUUUUUAUCAUAAUUUUCAGAUAUGCCAACUAUUAUUAUAUUCUCCUUGACUCUUCUCAAGAGUAAUUGUUUAUCCAAAAAAGUGUUUCAGGAUCUCUUCUGUUUUCUAGUUUUAUUAUUCCUUGGUGUCUUUUUUUAAAACAUACUUAUUUGUUUAUUUAAAACUUAAAUGCAACAUAAAAAACAAAAUAGAAAAACAAAAACAAAAAAUUCUCAUGUGUCCCACAGAACACCAAAAAGGAUGCAAACCAUGAAUUUCCAUUUCAAGAAAAUAUAUAUAAUAAUAGAAGAAUAUAUUCAUAAUUGUCCAUCUUUGCUUUCUUAUAGGUUUUCUUAUGUUUUCUGCUGUGUACUUUUUACUUUUUUCUUAGUUCCUCUUUUCUCCCUUCAACCUCCCCCAAUAGUUAACCACAAAUAUAUUAAUAUAUAGCUAGAUAAACAUCUGCACACAGAGACACACUCAUAUAUAUGCAUAUAUUCACACACAUAGAUACAUUUUUAUAUUGACAUACAUCUAAAGCAAUAUUAAUGUGAUGUAGAUUUCUCUCUUGAUUGAAUUUUUUUAAUUUUGAUUUUGUCUGAGAUCAAUGAUUACUAUCAUUAUUUUUUUCUAAUAAAUUCUACUCCUAAUCAUUGUUAUUGUAUCUGUGUAUAGCUCUUCUUAUCUCUGCUACCACUUCUACUUUACUUCUAUGCUUUAACUUGCCUUGCUAUUACUUACCCUCUUCAUUGCACCUCACCAUGGAUCACUCCCUUAUCUUCUCCCCUCACCUUUUCCUUCUCUUUUUAUCUUAUUAAUGCUAAUUUACACACUUUAUCCCAUUCCUCUUAAACUACAUACCCUUCUAUAUUCCACUUUAUCCUGUUCCCUCUUUCCUUAUUUCUUUAUAGAUUUUGGAGUGUGCUAUGUCAUUCUUUUUUUUAUUAUUUAUUUAUUUAAUAUUUUCUCCAGUUACAUUCAAAACAUUUUUUACAUUUGUUUUUUAAGAUUUUUGAGUUCUAGUUUCUCUCUUUUAUCCCCACUCACAAUUAAGAAACGUCAUGUGAAGUUAUGUAAAACAUUUCCAUAAAAGUUAAGUUGUGAAAGAAAACUAGAUCUCCCACCCUAAUGAGAAUAAAAACUCUCAAGAAAAAUUAAAUUAAAAAUAAAGAGAGAGAGAAAUAGCAAAUGCAUUGAUUUGUAUUCAGACUCGAUCAGUUUCUUCUCUGGAUAUGGAUAGGAGUUUUCAUCAUAAGUCCUUUAGAAUAGCUGUAAAUGAUUGUACCACUGAGAAUAACAAAAUCAUUUACAGCUAGUCAUCCCAAAACAUUGCUAUUACUUUGUAUACAGUAUAUUUCACUUUAUUCAUGGAGGACUUUCCAGGUUUGUUGUUUGUUUCCUGAGCAUCCUGCUCAUCAUGUCCCAGAGAACAAUAAUAUUCCAACAGAGAAAUUUGCUUCGAAAUUUCUUUUACAAUUACUACUGCUAAUUAUAUUCCCUUCCAUUUUUUCUCUCUCCUUUCAUCCUGUUCUUCCUCACAAGUGUUUUGUUACUGAUCACUCCUUCCUCCAAUGUGCCCUCUUUUUUAUCACAAAACACUGCUUCCAUUAUCCUAUUCCCCUUCUAUUUUCCUGCAGGGUAAGAUAGAUUUCUAUGCCCCCAUUGAAUAUGUGUGUUAUUUCGUACUUGAGUCGAUUCUGAUUAGUACUUCCUGUCUUCCCCCUCUCUUCCUCAGCACUGUAAAAGCCAUUUUUGUUUUUUACUGUCUUUAUGGCAGACAAUUGGAGAAUGGCUGAAUAAAUUGUGGUAUAUAUAGUAUAUCGUUGUUAUGAAAUAUUAUUGUUCUGUAAGAAAUGACCAGCAGGAUGAUUUCAGAGAAGCCUGGAGAGACUUACACGAACUUAUGCUGAAUGAAAUGAGCAGAAGCGGAUGAUUAUACACUUCAACAACAAGACCAUACGAUGAUCAAUUCUGAUGGAAGUAGCUCUCUUUAACAAUGACAUGAUUCAAACCAGUUCCAAUUGUUCAGUGAUGAAGAGAGUGAACUACAGCCAGGAAGAGAACUGUGGGAACUGAGUAUGGACCACAACAUAGCAUUCUCACUCUCUCUGUUGAUGUUUGCUUGCAUUUUAUUUUUCUUUUCAGGUUUUUUUGUUCUUUCUAGAUCUGAUUUUUCUUGUGCAGCAAGAUAACUGUAUAAAUAUGUAUACAUGUAUUGGAUUUAACAUAUAUUUUAACAUAUUUAACAUGUAUUGGACUACCUGCCAUCUAGGGGAGGGGGUGGGGGAAAGGAGGGGAAAAUUUGGAACAGAGAGUUU